GCUUGAGGGGCAAAUUGAUAAUUUUACUAAAGAUAUUUUUGGGGCAAUUUGGUAAUUAAGCUUAUCAACUUAAGUCACCAACCUCCCCCCCUCUUUUCUUCCUCAUCUCACAUUGAUAUCUCUCUCUCCCUCUUGCUUGGCUACCCCUUCUCUCUAUUUCUCUAUCUUUCUAUCUCACCCACCCACCAAAGCCCACACACCUACACACUCUAGCUCCCUCUAUUUCUCUCACUCCCUCAUCGGUAAACCAGCCAUCUACCCCCACCUUUGGCGGAUUUCACCGGAGAACCCCAUUAGAAACCCCAUACGCUCCAUUAUCUCAAACUUUAAAGGUUUUGAGAUUCUUGGUGACGGACCUAAUGAUGGGAUUGGUUGAUUUUGUGAUGUUGGUUGAGGUAAAAUAGGUUGGCUUUCCGAGGUAAGUAGCUUUUUAAUGAGAUUUUUGGAAAAUAACCAUGUUUCAUUAACGUUGUUUUUGGGUCCAACACAUUUUGCAAAAUUAUAUAUGGAUAUAUGUUUUCUUAAAAGUGUUGUGUUGUGACCCUAUCAUAUAUUAUUAUGUAUGAAAAGUGCAUCAUAUUUGGUAUUGCAUUUGGGGAAAUGUAUGAAUUGUUGAUAUGGAAAAAUGAGCAUCUUUUAUUUAAUCUUUGAUAAGGAAAUCAUGGAUUUUAUGGCAUAUUAGAAAAUUUAAAGAUGCUUAUCUUGUCUUGUUAUGUGGGAAAUUGAUAGAAAAUCUUUUGACAAGAAUGAAGUUGAAAACCUUACAAACUUUGUUAACUUAUUUAACGUUUUUCUAAAACUACUUGAAUAUGAAAUAUGUGUUUCAAAGUAAUGUAACUUGUGAGCUUAUGUGGUUUUAACAUCAUGCCAUGUGUGAUUUCUUGGUGAUCACCCGAUUUGGUUUUCGUAGUCUUUGUGACGAUGGAAUCAAAUCUAGGUCAGUGCUCUUUCAUUUUGGAUGACGCGUUCUUCCCAAUUGCCCAUGGGGGGAAGAGGUUCAUUAAUUGUGUGUAGGUGAGGCUGCUGCCUAUGGGGUUGAGAGACCACAUGCAAGAGAGGUCCUAUUUGACGCGCUCUCUCUGCUGCCCAUGGGGGGAGAGAAAAACCUUGAGGGUAUGAGUGAGGUUGCUGUCCAUAGGGCCAAGAGUCUGCAUACCAGAGAGGACAAUAUCAUGCCAGUUGUGAAUGGAUGGAUCCCCUAACUGGUCUAUGUGGUAAUGUGGUAUAUUUGUGGUAAAUUACCGUAUGUUAGAUUUUAUAACUUUGGAAUUAUAUUAUUAGUACUCACAGAUUAUUGUAUAUAGUUUCAUGGUAUUAUUUUGAGAAACUUUGUGUUUCAUCAUUUAAUCGUUCUUGUUACAUUAUUAUAAAAAAAAUGAUCUUGUAGUAUUUAGUUAGCAAUUUCCCAAACUAAAACAUGUUUUGCAAACUGUUUAUAAUCAUGAAAUUUGCAUUUCUCCCAUUCUCAUUAAUUAUGCUACUUACUGGGCUUUAACUUAUCCCACUCUCCAACAGUUUUUUAGAUAAAUUUGCUAUACCUCGGGCAUGGAGCUUGUUUUAUUGGUGGUGAUUGGAGCAUUAUGUUGAGUGAGAGAUUUAUGCUAUGAUUGGUUGGUGACUCAAUCUUGUAAAGUUUAACGAGAUCAUAAUUAAUUAUAUUGGAAGUUGGAUACUUGAGGUUUGUUAGCCUUAGGCUUUGUAGGCCUAACUUCAAUGUUGAGGUUGUGUAUUUUAGAAGGGAUUGUGGUUUUGUGUUAUCCAUUUGGAGCUUUGAUACAUAUUCAUGCAUUAUUUGGAGGCACAUGACUUGAGUUAUUGUUUGUAAUUGUGUUAUAGAGCUCUGACUUGUAAUAUGAAGAUUUUAGUAUGGUUAUUUAUUUUUAUCAUGUA